rnacentral:rRNA from 1 species
GCAAGUCGAGGGGCAGCAUUGGUACUUGUAUCAGAUGGCGACCGGCGCACGGGUGCGUAACGCGUAUAGAACCUACCUUUUACUGGAGAAUAGCCCAAAGAAAUUUGGAUUAAUGCUCCAUAGUAUUAUGAAUUGGCAUCAGUUUAUAAUUAAAGAUUUAUUGGUAAAAGAUGGCUAUGCGUUCUAUUAGUUAGUUGGUAAGGUAACGGCUUACCAAGACAUCGAUAGAUAGGGGCCCUGAGAGGGGGAUC